rnacentral:rRNA from 1 species
GUCCACGCCGUAAACGAUAAUCACUAGAUGUUGGUUCGGCUUAGCUGGAUCAGUGUCGUAGCUAACGCGUUAAGUGAUUCGCCUGGGGAGUAUGGUCGCAAGGCUAAAACUUAAAGAAUUGACGGGGGUCCGCACAAGCGGUGGAACAUGUGGUUUAAUUCGACACUACGCGAGAAACCUUACCUGGGCUUGACAUGUACUUGACAGCUGUAGAAAUACGGUCUUUUGGAUUUCGGUUCAAACGGGUACACAGGUGCUGCAUGGCUGUCGU